UUUUUUAGAUUUACGAAGAGGAUUUGCCCAGAAACAAGAUAUUCUCUAAGCAUCAACUGUUUAUUUCACAGGGGAUGCAAUAAUUUGGACAUAUCACUAGCAUCUCAAUAGCAACUAUAAGUGAUGUCAUAAACCAAAGUUAAUGACAUCAGACUAGGGAGGAGGAAGCACAAGGUAGCAAACUUUUAAGCCACACAAGUCUUGUUGAUAUGAAACAUUUAUAACUGAAGAAUGGGAAAGAAACACAGAGCACAUCCAUGGAACUGACAAUAAAAGAACCAAACAGAACAUCUCUGAGACAAUGCUAGGAAAGAAACGUGAUUAAGAGCUUCACUCUACAAAUCAAACUCACGAGCCUCAGGCUGAGUCAUCAGUGCAGCCGUUGGAUGUGGACCUCCUGUUUCUGAGCCUACGAUUGGACAGAAAAUCCUGGCCUUGGCUUUAGUACCUCUGCUGGUGACAGGAUGCCAAUCGGCCAUUGUGGAAAUGACAGAGCGAGUCGAAUGGCAGUUUCUCUAAUACAAUUUGCUCCAGCCCCAAACCCUUCUACUGAGGUAAAUCCAAAGAGAGCACCUGCAGGGAUAUGUCCUGACAUGCGGGAUUUAGUACCGGUAGCAUGUAGGUUUAAAAUACACAGUAUCUCCCUACAGCUUCUAACAACUAUUUGGUUUGCUGGAAUACAGCCCCAGUUUCUUUCUCCUUCUGUUUCAGCAACGUUACUCAGAUAAGCAAAGCCUGGCGCUCCUAUUCCAUUUCAGCAGUUUCAUUUGAAUUUAGAAAGCAAUCCAAAAGGAAUUGAAAUACAUGAUUUUACAGCACAGGCUCGUCGUGCACACACCAUUAUGUUUCAAUUCAUGAGAAUGUAUCUUCUCCGUGAAAUCAAUUGCCAUAGUCUUCAUUCAUUACCCAAUCACAUCUGAUGUCUGUCAGAGAGCUGCUGACCGCUACAGUAAAUCAGAGGGGCAGAAAUCCUUCGUUUCUUUCCUCAUCUCUCGACAGCCUCCUCAUGCAAGCAUGGCUAUCCUUUGCAGCAAAACCAGGAUUUCCCUCUGUAACUGCAUUUCACAACUGGGGAGGUUUUCAUAAAUGGAAAAAAUGCAGUAUGCAUAAUCCAGGAAGCUAUUGAAACGCACAGUAUCAGAAACAUAUGGCUACAGGAAAUACCUUGGCAGCGAGAGGCUGGGAAGGGGAGAACCCGCUGCAAGAAAACGCUCUUGACUAAAGGGAGGCUUUGC